CCUACGGGAGGCUGCAGUGGGGAAUAUUGGGCAAUGGGCGCAAGCCUGACCCAGCAACGCCGCGUGAAGGAAGAAGGCUUUCUGGUUGUAAACUUCUUUUCUCAGGGACGAAGCAAGUGACGGUCCCUGAGUCAUACGCCACGGCUAACUACGUGCCCGCAGCCGCGGUAAUACGUAGGUGGCAAGCGUUCUACGGAUUUACUGGGUGUAAAGGGCGUGUAGGCGGGACUGCAAGUCAGAUGUGAAAACCACGGGCUCAACCGGGGGCCUGCAUUUGAAACUGUAGUUCUGGAGUACUGGAGAGGCAGACGGAAUUCCUAGUGUAGCGGUGAAAUGCGUAGAUAUUAGGAGGAACACCAGUGGCGAAGGCGGUCUGCUGGACAGCAACUGACGCUGAGGCGCGAAAGCGUGGGGAGCAAACAGGAUUAGAUACCCUUGUAGUC
rnacentral:rRNA from 1 species